rnacentral:rRNA from 1 species
CACGUAGUUAGCCGUGACUUUCUAGUUAGGUACCGUCAAAGUCAAGACAGUUACUCCUUGACUUGUUCUUCUCUAAUAACAGAACUUUACGAUCCGAAGACCUUCUUCAUUCACGCGGCAUUGCUCCAUCAGGCUUGCGCCCAUUGUGGAAGAUUCCCUACUGCUGCCUCCCGUAGGAGUCUGGGCCGUGUCUCAGUCCCAGUGUGGCCGAUCACCCUCUCAGGUCGGCUACGUAUCGUUGCCUUGGUGAGCCAUUACCUCACCAACUAACUAAUACGCCGCGGGAUCAUCUAAGAGCGACAGCCGAAGCCGUCUUUCGUUUUCGGACCAUGCGGUCCAAAAAGAUAUGCGGUAUUAGCAUCCGUUUCGAAUGUUAUCCCCCACUCCUAGGCAGAUUUCCCACGUGUUACUCACCCGUUCGCCACUCAUCCGUCAUCUGCAAGCAGAUGACUUCAGCGUUCGACUUGCAUGUAUUAGGCAUGCCGCCAGCGUUCG